AUAUUUUCUAAGGAUUAUAUUUAAAAUAAAAAUAUUUGGCGGCUAUUUAUAUUAAAGGGAUUUGCUAAUCGAUUUGCCUCGUUUGUUAUUAUUUAGCUUGUUUUUGUAUACCGUCAUUUAGAUAAUAUUUACAGAUAAAAUUAUGAUAAUACUAUAUAAUGAUAUUAGAUCAAGGUGCAGAUAUUGCUGAUUACAGGUUAAUGACAAUAAUUUAUUAUUACACAGGAUAUAUUUAAUUAUUGAAUAGGAGGAUUUAAAUGUAAUGAAAGUUUAUUGAAAUUAAUUAAU
rnacentral:rRNA from 1 species